GUCGAACGGAAAGGCCCUUCGGGGUACUCGAGUGGCGAACGGGUGAGUAACACGUGGGUGAUCUGCCCUGCACUUUGGGAUAAGCCUGGGAAACUGGGUCUAAUACCGAAUAGGAUCAUGCUCUUCAUGGGGUGUGGUGGAAAGCUUUUGCGGUGUGGGAUGGGCCCGCGGCCUAUCAGCUUGUUGGUGGGGUAAUGGCCUACCAAGGCGACGACGGGUAGCCGGCCUGAGAGGGUGACCGGCCACACUGGGACUGAGAUACGGCCCAGACUCCUACGGGAGGCAGCAGUGGGGAAUAUUGCACAAUGGGCGCAAGCCUGAUGCAGCGACGCCGCGUGAGGGAUGACGGCCUUCGGGUUGUAAACCUCUUUCACCAGGGACGAAGCGCAAGUGACGGUACCUGGAGAAGAAGCACCGGCCAACUACGUGCCAGCAGCCGCGGUAAUACGUAGGGUGCGAGCGUUGUCCGGAAUUACUGGGCGUAAAGAGCUCGUAGGUGGUUUGUCGCGUUGUUCGUGAAAACUCACAACUCAAUUGUGGGCGUGCGGGCGAUACGGGCAGACUAGAGUACUGCAGGGGAGACUGGAAUUCCUGGUGUAGCGGUGGAAUGCGCAGAUAUCAGGAGGAACACCGGUGGCGAAGGCGGGUCUCUGGGCAGUAA
rnacentral:rRNA from 1 species